UUUGGUGUUUCUAGCAUAAUGGAACCACACUGAUCCAUCUCGAACUCAGUAGUGAAACGUUAUAGCGGUGACAAUACUUGGGGGGGGACCCCCUGGGAAGAUAACUCAAUGCCAAAG
rnacentral:rRNA from 1 species